UACGUAGGGUGCAAGCGUUGUCCGGAAUUAUUGGGCGUAAAGAGCGUGUAGGCGGCCCGGUAAGUCCGCUGUGAAAGUCGGGGGCUCAACCCUCGAAUGCCGGUGGAUACUGUCGGGCUAGAGUGCGGGAGAGGCGAGUGGAAUUCCUGGUGUAGCGGUGAAAUGCGCAGAUAUCAGGAAGAACACCUAUGGCGAAGGCAGCUCUCUGGGACGGUACUGACGCUGAGGAGCGAAAGCGUGGGGAGCAAACAGG
rnacentral:rRNA from 1 species